UGGCUCAGGACGAACGCUGGCGGCAUGCCUAACACAUGCAAGUCGAACGGAAGUAGAAAUACUUUAGUGGCGAACGGGUGAGUAACACGUGAGCAACCUGCCUUACACACAGGGAUAACAGUUGGAAACGACUGCUAAUACCGGAUAAGACCACACUAUGGCAUCAUAGAGGGGUCAAAGUGAUUUAGCGGUGUAAGAUGGGCUCGCGUCCAAUUAGCUAGUUGGUGAGGUAACGGCCCACCAAGGCGACGAUUGGUAGCCGACUUGAGAGAGUGAUCGGCCACACUGGAACUGAGACACGGUCCAGACUCCUACGGGAGGCAGCAGUGGGGAAUAUUGGGCAAUGGAGGAAACUCUUACCCAAGCAAUGCCGCGUGAGUGAUGAAGGUCUUUGGAUUGUAAAGCUCUUUGAUUGGGGACGAAUAAAUGACGGUACCCAAAGAACAAGCCCCGGCUAACUAUGUGCCAGCCGCCGC
rnacentral:rRNA from 1 species